GCAACACAGUAGAGAGAGACAGAGAGAGAGAGAGAGAGAAGCAAAACUAUGGUCAGAGAAACCCCACCACCUAUUUCUUCUCUAAACAGUAGUGGAGAGGGUGAGCUGUACAUAUCAGUGGCAUAAGCAUCUCUCUCCGAGUCUCUCUGUCCCUGAUGAAAUAGCUGGAGAUGGAGGGAGAGAGGAGAGAGAGAGAGAGCCUUAGCCUUGUAUUGUAGUUUGUCCAUGUUGAAUGAGUAAAUACUAAAUAGUAAAUACACAUUCAUUAUGGUCAUAAGUAUCAAAAGCUAUCCUGAAAAAGAAAAGAAAUGAAAAGAAAAGCCCAUUUCUUUUUUUAUUUUUGAAACUUUAUUGCUUUCUUUUGGUAUAUAGUAACAACAAACACCAGUGCUUUGCCAGAUUUGUGUAGAGAGAUCAGAGAAAGAGAGAUCCUUCAAUAUAUCGCUUUCCCUUCUCUGAUUCUCACGAAAGACAGCGACACUUCCUCUCCCUUCUCCCCCCUUUUUUUCUCUCCUACUCCUUUAACACAAACCCUUCUUGAUUUUUGCAUCACUCUUUCAUUUCUCUUAAUUUUUAUAAAUCUUAUUUAAUUCUUUCUGGAUUUUGUCUAUAUUUUUGGUUUCUUUCCUUUAAUACAUAAUCACAGACUUCACAGUGCGGCUGCUGAUCGUGGUUGAAGCACGGAUUUACUUUUCCCUGAAGUUGUGAGGACGUUUCGAUGGAGGUUCUAUUAUUAGUUAUAUGAUCUUACGUGUGUGUAUGAAGAUCUGAAGUGAAUUAAAAUAAGCAGUUCAUUGGGUGUCGAUAAUGGAAGUACACAAAAAAAGAUAUUGGAAGUACACUUGAAGUAGAUUUUUAAUUGUAUUUAUCGAGUAAUGAGCAUGUGUUAUGGUGUUUGAUUAGUUUAUUAAGGUGAAGUUAAUUAAUA